GCGGAGGCUGCGCUUGUUGAGCCUGGAUGAUAUGGAGCGGCUGGCAACCUGCAUGCUUCACCCUGAGGCUGUGGAGUGCAUGGAGCUGUCCUUCCUGGACUGAGGAAUACUGCUCUGCCCUCUCCACCUCUCUUCUCCCCUCUCCCCUCUCUCCUCUCCUCUGUACUCUCUCCUCCCACUGUCCUCUUCUCUCCUUACUUUGUUUAAAAGAAUAGAAGCACACCCAGUGAGCAAGGCAUUGAGCAGCCCCACAUCCCGCUUCACAAUACCGCUACAUAUUGACUGACUGUUCGCAUUGUGUGUGUUUGGUAAGACAAACCACAUUUUCUACUUCUACUUUCUACGAUUGGGCAAGUCAGCGGUUGUUUGAUAACAGAACAUAAAACAUCACAGAGUGGGUUGAACUGCAUUGCUGCAAACCAAGGCCCUUUAAAAUGUGUACCUUCCCAGCUCAGGUAUUGCUGAGGUAAAGAGACACUUCCUACAGGAGGACAGGACGUUGUCAAGGAGGGGAUGUCGACACGUGUCCUGAGGGCUUUCUUAAAAACAUUGUUUUAUUAUUUCUAAGCGCACGUUGUUACUGCCUUUUAGCUCUUGAGCAUAAUAAUCUCAAUCCCGUUUGAAAUGACACUAAGUGCAUUUGCAUGGUGGCAGAUGAGGGAUGUCACUUCACUCGAGGCUUGCUUACUGAUGAAGAUGUAUUUUCAGUGUUUAAUGCUCAUCCCCUCACUGUGUGUGUGUGUGUGUGUGUGUGUGUUCUUGUCUCUCGCCUGUCCUGUGAGGAUGAAGAUGUAGUUUCAGUGUUUAAUGCUCAUCUCCUCACUGUGUGUCUGUGUGUUCUUGUCUCUUGACAGGUCUGUGAGGAUGAGAAGGUCUCCACAGUCUGCAGUCUGGUCUCUGACAGGCUCAACAUACCUGUCAAUCAACAUGGACUCCUCUACAAAGGCAAGGCGCUGGCAGGUAGGCUGAACAGCACAGCACAGCACAGCUCACCCCUCCUCACUUCUCGCCUCACCCCGGGUCAGUGUGGCACAGCCUGCCUGCUCUUCUGAACAAACACUUCAGCCCUGCCGACGCAGUGAGAGUCUGGAGCAGCAACACAAGGAUUACGAGCGGAGGCUGCGCUUGUUGAGCCUGGAUGAUAUGGAGCGGCUGGCGACCUGCAUGCUUCACCCUGAGGCUGUGGAGUGCAUGGAGCUGUCCUUCCUGGACUGAGGAAUACUGCUGCUGCCCUCUCCACCUCUCCCCUCUCUUCUCCCCUCUCCCCUCUCCUCUCCUCUUUACUCUCUGCUCCCCCUCUCCUCUCCUCUCCUUACUUUGUUUAAAAGAAUAGAAGCACACCCAGUGAGCAAGGCAUUGAGCAGCCCCACAUCCCGCUUCACAAUACCGCUACAUAUUGACUGACUGUUCGCAUUGUGUGUGUUUGGUAAGACAAACCAAAUUUUCUACUUCUACUUUCUACGACUGGGCAAGUCAGCGGUUGUUUGGUAACAGAACAUAAAACAUCACAGAGUGGGUUGAACUGCAUUGCUGCAAACCAAGGCCCUUUAAAAUGUGUACCUUCCCAGCUCAGGUAUUGCUGAGGUAAAGAGACACUUCCUACAGGAGGACAGGACGUUGUCAAGGAGGGGAUGUCGUCACGUGUCCUGAGGGCUUUCUUAAAAGCGUCUGUGAGGAUGAGAAGGUCUCCACAGUCUGGAGUCUGGUCUCUGACAGGCUCAACAUACCUGUCAAUCAACAGGGACUCCUCUACAAAGGCAAGGCGCUGGCAGAUGAGCACAGACUGUCACACGACUCCAUCGCUCCCGAUUCCAAGCUGAACUCGUUGUGACGCCCCCAACAGAGAAAGUGUCACCCGAGCAAGAACAGCACUCCGUGUCACCCCUCCUCUCAGACCUCACCCCUCACCCUCGCCUCACCCCUCCUGUCACACCUCACCCCUCGCCACACCCCUCCUCUCACACCUCACCCCUCGUCUCACUCCUCGCCUCAACCCUCCUGUCACCCCUCGCCCCUCCUCUCACCCCUCGCCUAACCCCUCCUCUCACUUCUCGCCUCACCCCGGGUCAGUGUGGCACAGCCUGCCUGCUCUUCUGAACAAACACUUCAGCCCUGCCGACGCAGUGAGAGUCUGGAGCAGCAACACAAGGAUUACGAACGGAGGCUGCGCUUAUUGAGCCUGGAUGAUAUGGAGCGGCUGGCGACCCGCAUGCUUCACCCUGAGGCUAUGGGGAGUGCAUGGAGCUGUCCUUCCUGGACUGAGCAAUACUGCUGCUGCCCUCUCCACCUCUCCCCUCUCUCCUCCCCCUCUCCUCCCCCUCUCCUUACUUUGUUUAAAAGAAUAGAAGCACACCCAGUGAGCAAGGUAUUGAGCAGCCCCACAUCCCGCUUCACAAUACCGCUACAUAUUGACUGACUGUUCGCAUUGUGUGUGUUUGGUAAGACAAACCACAUUUUCUACUUUCUGCUAUUUUAAAAGGAGCCCAGUUUGGUGCAGGAGGCUUGUGGGUAACAGAGUGUGUUUUUGCUGGGGACUGCAGCCCUUCCAUUACCAUUGCUCGUAGAGGGGAGAUUGUUUUACUUUCAAGCCUUUUUCUUUAAUAAAUCCGGACGUUUGGAAAUACA